UAGACUUCAAAUCAGGUGGGACUACCCGCUGAACUUAAGCAUAUCAAUAAGCGGAGGAAAAGAAAUAACUAUGAUUCCCUUAGUAACGGCGAGUGAACAGGGAAAAGCCCAAAUUUUAAUCUGGCACUUUUUACAAGUGUCCGAGUUGUAAUUUGUAGAGCUGUUAUCC
rnacentral:rRNA from 1 species